UCAGUAACACGUAGUCAACAUGCCCAGGGGACGUGGAUAACCUCGGGAAACUGAGGAUAAACCGCGAUAAGUCACUACUUCUGGAAUGGGUAAUGACUCAAAUCUAUAUGGCCCCUGGAUUGGACUGCGGCCGAUCAGGCUGUUGGUGAGGUAAUGGCCCACCAAACCUGUAACCGGUACGGGCUCUGAGAGGAAGAGCCCGGAGAUGGGCACUGAGACAAGGGCCCAGGCCCUAUGGGGCGCAGCAGGCGCGAAACCUCUGCAAUAGGCGAAAGCUUGACAGGGUUACUCUGAGUGAUUUCCGUUAAGGAGAUCUUUUGGCACCUCUAAAAAUGGUGCAGAAUAAGGGGUGGGCAAGUCUGGUGCCAGC
rnacentral:rRNA from 1 species